UGGCUGCGACUGGAUGGGCAUUCUAUU
rnacentral:piRNA from 1 species